CUACUUUAUUUUUAGCGUAAGAGCGGGAGCGGCCAUUUGUAAAUUUAAGUAGUCUGGCUUCCGGUGUCAUCCGCUGCGUUAUUUGUUAGCUGUACAACACAGUUUGUUAUUGCAAACUGGUGUUUAUUACCAACGAUAUUAUUAAGUCGUAAUUAUAAACAAACUGGUUUGUAGAGAAAAUAGUUUUUCCGUUUACUGCACUUUGUUAUUCUAGUUAUUUAGCAACGUUACCUAUAGCGGCUAGUGAAACGGAUGAAAUCGCAUAACUUGCAAAAUAAGAUGCGAGACUGCAGCAUUUCUUUCUUCUUCCACUAGAUGGCUGUGCAACGACAUGUAAGUUUACAAUAUCUGCAGGACAGGAAGAAACACGUCUCUCUGUGAAGAAUAAGAAGGUGAGGAAUGCAAGAUGAGAUAUAAAGCAUUCAUAUUCAAAUAUGGUAAGCACAAGA